rnacentral:rRNA from 1 species
UACGUAGGGGGCGAGCGUUAUCCGGAAUACUGGGCGUAAAGCGCACGCAGGCGGUUUGUCGCGUCUGCUGUGAAAACCCGAGGCUCAACCUCGGGCCUGCAGUGGGUACGGGCAGACUAGAGUGCGGUAGGGGAGAUUGGAAUUCCUGGUGUAGCGGUGGAAUGCGCAGAUAUCAGGAGGAACACCAAUGGCGAAGGCAGAUCUCUGGGCCGUAACUGACGCUGAGGAGCGAAAGCAUGGGGAGCGAACAGG